CAUGGCAAGUCGAACGAACAGCGAAAGGUGCUUGCGCCUUUCAAGUGAGUGGCGAUCGGGUGAGUGACACGCGGACGACUGCCCCAGGGAUGGGGAUAACAUUUGGAAACAGAUGCUAAUACCGAAUAAAACUUAGUAUCGCAUGACACAAAUUUAAAAGGCGCUUUGGCGUCACCUGGAUAUGGAUCCGCGGUGCAUUUGAUAGUUGGUGGGGUAAAGGCCUACCAAGACAAUGAUGCAUAGCCGACUUGAAAGACUGAUCGGCCACAUUGGGACUGAGACACGGCCCAAACUCCUAAGGGAGGCGCAGUAGGGAAUCUUCCACAAUGGGCGAAAGCCUGAUGGAGCAACACCGCUUGUGUGAUGAAGGCUUUCGGGUGAAAGCACUGUUGUAUGGGAAGAACUCUGAAUAGAGAAUGAUUUUAGUUUGACAGUGCCAUACCAUAGACGGACGGCUAAAUACGUGCCAGCACCCGCGGUAAUACGUAUGUCCCGAGCGUUAUCCGGAUUUAUUGGGCGUAAAGCGAGCGCGGACGGUUAAUUAAGUCUGAUGUGAUAGCCCGGAGCUCGACUCCGGCAUGGGAUUGGAAACUGGUUAACUUGAGAGCAGUAGAGGUAAGUGUGACUCCAUGUGUAGCGGAGCACUGUGUAUAUCUAUGGAAUAACACCAGUGGCGAAGGCGGCUUACUGGACAGUGACUGUCGCUGAUGUGUAACUGAGUGUGAAGCUCACAGAUUAGAUACCCUGCUAGAUCACACACUAUGCUAUGACCUCUAGGAGUCGAGAAGUGUUAGCCUCUGAGAGCCGUCCGUCACGCAUUGCGCGAUC
rnacentral:rRNA from 1 species